rnacentral:rRNA from 1 species
UACGGAGGGGGCCAGCGUUGUUCGGAAUCAUUGGGCGUAAAGGGCGCGUAGGCGGCUUUGUAAGUCCGUUGUGAAAUCCCUCGGCUCAACCGAGGAACUGCGACGGAUACUGCUUGGCUUGAGUCCCGGAGAGGGUAGCGGAAUUCCCAGUGUAGCGGUGAAAUGCGUAGAUAUCGCUUGGAACGCCAAAGGUGAAAACAGGUAGCUGGGGGUGUGCUGACACUGAGACACGAAAGCCAGGGGAGCAAACGGG